rnacentral:tRNA from 1 species
GCCUCCGUAGCUCAGUGGUAGAGCAAUUGAUUUGUAAUCAAUAGGUCGUCGGUUCAAAUCCGGCCGGGGGCU